rnacentral:lncRNA from 1 species
UGAAAAACACAGGGGCUGAGGAAUAUUUUGGCACUUCCUAUUGCUUCCACUAGAUGUCACCAGCCUUUACAAAGUGUUUUGAGUCUUCUGGAGGGAGAUCUGACCGAACAAGAGCCAUGGAACGAUGAUGUCCCAUUAGACACCUGGCGCGCGAGUUCAUGUUGGGUACCCUCGUUCCAAUACGUUAUAAAAGAGUAUGCAUUCGUCCACCUUGAAUAUUAUUCAUGUUCUGGUUAAAAAAGGCCCUAAUGAUUUAUGCUAUACAACGUUUGACAUGUUUGAACGAACGUAAAUAUAUUUUUUCCCCUCGUUCAUGAAGUGAAGUCCGGCGGGCUUAGAUCAUGUGCUAACAAGACGGAGAUUUUUGGACAUAAAUGAUGAGCUUUUUUGAACAAAACUACAUUCGUUAUGGACCUGUGAUACCUGGAAGUGACAUCUGAUGAAGAGAAUCAAAGGUUUGAGGAAAGAGGGGAGACAGGAGGCGAAAAGGGGUUCCCGGUAGCGUUUUCAUCAAAGGCUUUUCCGUCAGCACUUCAGAGUGGCCGUCAGUAUGGAAAUGUGUUGUGCUGCCUGGAAAGCUGUCAGAGAACACAUUUCUUGGAUGGGACCCUGCUAAUUGAACUGGGCUUCUGUCGGCUAUGUUCUCUGGUCCCCUCAUUAUGCACUGUGAGAUGCGGUCUACAGAUAGAGACGUUUUGUUGCCAUGCUGUGAUCACAACACCACGUAUUGAUUGGAUACAAGGAGGACAUUUUCACAAAAGGCCUCCUGUUGCGAGCUCCCAGCUAAAUACUACAGAGAAUAUCUGUGACCUUUUAGCAGUAUCUUAAACCCUUCUGGAGGCAGCACCAAGGUGAGCUGAGGAGAACAGGGGAGCUCAGCUCCCCGGGGAGGGGGAGAGCAAAUUAAAGCUCACCUCAGGAACCGUGCCACCCCUGGCACUGUCCUGAUGCAACAGCUGCAGAUACAAAAACCAUCAUCUGACAUCCUGACACACGUCUGUGCCAGGUGGGUUGGGC